GAUAAACGCUGGCGGCGCACAUAAGACAUGCAAGUCGAACGGAAGUCGUUUUAAUGAUUUUGAAAUGAAAGAUUUAUCCGGAAUUGAUGAAGAUUUAAAACAAUGGCUUUAGUGGCGGACUGGUGAGUAACACGUAAGCAACCUGCCUGUUAGAGGGGAAUAACAACGAGAAAUCGUUGCUAAUACCGCAUAUGCCAUAAGAACCACAUGGUUCUAGUGGGAAAGGAGUAAUCCGCUAAUAGAUGGUCUCGCGUCUGAUUAGCUAGAUGGCGGGUAACGGCCCACCAUGGCGACGAUCAGUAGCCGGUCUGAGAGGAUGAACGGCCACAUUGGGACUGAGAUACGGCCCAGACUCCUACGGGAGGCAGCAGUGAGGAAUAUUGGGCAAUGGGCGAAAGCCUGACCCAGCAACGCCGCGUGAAGGAAG
rnacentral:rRNA from 1 species